rnacentral:rRNA from 1 species
UACGAAGGGGGCUAGCGUUGCUCGGAAUUACUGGGCGUAAAGGGCGCGUAGGCGGAUAUUUAAGUCGGGGGUGAAAGCCCAGGGCUCAACCCUGGAAUUGCCUUCGAUACUGGAGAUCUUGAGUUCGGGAGAGGUGAGUGGAAUGCCGAGUGUAGAGGUGAAAUUCGUAGAUAUUCGGCGGAACACCAGUGGCGAAGGCGACUCACUGGCCCGAUACUGACGCUGAGGCGCGAAAGCGUGGGGAGCAAACAGG